AUUGAACGCUAGCGGCAUGCUUAACACAUGCAAGUCGAACGGUAACAGGCCUAGCUUGCUAGGUGCUGACGAGUGGCGGACGGGUGAGUAACGCGUAGGAAUCUACCUAAUAGUGUGGAAUAACCUGGGGAAACCCAGGCUAAUACCGCAUGUGCCCUAAGGGGUAAAGCAGGGGACCGCAAGGCCUUGCGCUAUUGGAUGAGCCUGCGUCGGAUUAGCUAGUUGGUGGGGUAAAGGCCUACCAAGGCGAUGAUCCGUAGCUGGUCUGAGAGGACGA
rnacentral:rRNA from 1 species